rnacentral:rRNA from 1 species
CCUACUGGGGGCAGCAGUGGGGAAUUUUGGACAAUGGGGGCAACCCUGAUCCAGCCAUGCCGCGUGCGGGAAGAAGGCCUUCGGGUUGUAAACCGCUUUUGUCAGGGAAGAAAUCUUCCGAGCUAAUACCUUGGGAGGAUGACGGUACCUGAAGAAUAAGCACCGGCUAACUACGUGCCAGCAGCCGCGGUAAUACGUAGCGUGCAAGCGUUAAUCGGAAUUACUGGGGGUAAAGGUUGCAGACGCGGGUGAAAUCCCCGGGCUUAACCUGGGAACUGCACUUGUGACUGUACAGCUGGAGUACGGCAGAGGGGGAUGGAAUUCCGCGUGUAGCAGUGAAAUGCGUAGAUAUGCGGAGGAACACCGAUGGCGAAGGCAGUCCCCUGGGCCUGUACUGACGCUCAUGCACGAAAGCGUGGGGAGCAAACAGGAUUAGAUACCCUGGUAGUC